UACGUAGGGUCCGAGCGUUGUCCGGAAUUACUGGGCGUAAAGAGCUCGUAGGUGGUUUGUCGCGUUGUUCGUGAAAACUCACAGCUCAACUGUGGGCGUGCGGGCGAUACGGGCAGACUGGAGUACUGCAGGGGAGACUGGAAUUCCUGGUGUAGCGGUGGAAUACGCAGAUAUCAGGAGGAACACCGGUGGCGAAGGCGGGUCCCUGGGCAGUAACUGACGCUGAGGAGCGAAAGCGUGGGGAGCGAACAGG
rnacentral:rRNA from 1 species